GCCUUCGUGGUGUAGUGGUCAGCACGCUGGGCGCGUAUUCUAGAGGACAGUGGUUCGAGUCCUGACGAGGGCA
rnacentral:tRNA from 1 species